CCUACGGGAGGCAGCAGUGGGGAAUUUUGGACAAUGGGGGAAACCCUGAUCCAGCAAUGCCGCGUGUGUGAAGAAGGCCUUCGGGUUGUAAAGCACUUUUGUCAGGAACGAAACGGUGGGGGCUAAUACCUCCUGCUAAUGACGGUACCUGAAGAAUAAGCACCGGCUAACUACGUGCCAGCAGCCGCGGUAAU
rnacentral:rRNA from 1 species